rnacentral:rRNA from 1 species
UGGGGAAUAUUGCACAAUGGGCGCAAGCCUGAUGCAGCCAUGCCGCGUGUAUGAAGAAGGCCUUCGGGUUGUAAAGUACUUUCAGCGGGGAGGAAGGUGUUGAGGUUAAUAACCUCAGCAAUUGACGUUACCCGCAGAAGAAGCACCGGCUAACUCCGUGCCAGCAGCCGCGGUAAUACGGAGGGUGCAAGCGUUAAUCGGAAUUACUGGGCGUAAAGCGCACGCAGGCGGUCUGUCAAGUCGGAUGUGAAAUCCCCGGGCUCAACCUGGGAACUGCAUUCGAAACUGGCAGGCUAGAGUCUUGUAGAGGGGGGUAGAAUUCCAGGUGUAGCGGUGAAAUGCGUAGAGAUCUGGAGGAAUACCGGUGGCGAAGGCGG